AAAUGCGUAGAUAUUAGGAGGAACACCGGCGGCGAAGGCGGCUACUGGACAGUAACUGACGUUGAGGCUCGAAAGCGUGGGGAGCAAACAGGAUUAGAUACCCGGUAGUCCACGCCGUAAACGAUGAAUACCAGGUGUUGGCGCCCACAGGGCGUCAGUGCCGCGCAAACGCAAUAAGUAUUCCACCUGGGGAGUACGUUCGCAAGAAUGAAACUCAAAGGAAUGACGGGGACCCGCACAAGCGGUGGAGCAUGUGGUUUAAUUCGAAGCAACGCGAAGAACCUACCAAAUCUUGACAUCCCGGUGACCGUCCUUUAACAGGGGCCUCCCUUCGGGGCACCGGGACAGGUGGUGCAUGGUUGUCGUCAGCUCGUGUCGUGAGAUGUUGGGUCAAGUCCCGCAAGAGCGCAACCCUUGUCCUCAGUAGCCAGCGGUACGGCCGGGCACUCUGGGGAGACCGCCAGGACAACCUGGAGGAAGAUGGGGAUGACGUCAAAUCAUCAUGCCCCUUAUGAUUUGGGCUCACACGUGCUACAAUGGCGCCUGACAAAGUGAAGCGAACCCGCGAGGGCAGGCAAAUCACAAAACGGCGUCCCAGUUCGGACUGAAGGCUGCAACCCGCCUUCACGAAGCUGGAAUCGCUGUAAUCGCGGAUCAGAAUGCCGCGGUGAAUACGUUCCCGGGUCUUGCACACACCGCCCGU
rnacentral:rRNA from 1 species